rnacentral:rRNA from 1 species
CAGUAGCCACGGUAAUACGGAGGGUGCAAGCGUUACUCGGAAUUACUGGGCGUAAAGCGUGCGUAGGUGGUGGUUUAAGUCCGUUGUGAAAGCCCUGGGCUCAACCUGGGAAUUGCAGUGGAUACUGGGUCACUAGAGAGUGGUAGAGGAUAGUGGAAUUUCCGGUGUAGCAGUGAAAUGCGUAGAGAUCGGAAGGAACAUCUGUGGCGAAGGCGACUAUCUGGGCCAACACUGACACUGAGGCACGAAAGCGUGGGGAGCAAACAGGAUUAGAUACCCGCGUAGUCCCUGUCUCUUAUAC